UGGCUCAGACGGUGAAGCGUCUGCCUGCAAUGCAGGAGACCCAGGUUCGAUCCCUGG
rnacentral:tRNA from 1 species